GAAUGAUUGGGCCAGGGUUGUCCUUUGUCAAGGAGAAUGUUGCGCUAUGACACACAUGACGGACAUGUUGAGACAUGGACUAACUACAGAAAACACUUUGAAACAUGGAAUAGAUGAUGAAUUCAGAUGGCAAUCACCAGCCUAAGAGUUAUUGGCCUCAGAAGUCACAGCCCCUUUCCUCCAAGAAAGAUGGUAUUAUGCUAAAUUAGACCCUGGGCUAUGCUUCUGGCAGUACUGGC